GUGCUAGCCACAUAUCCAUCACCAUUAGAAAACAAACUCUCAGGCUAUAGAACAUGUAUAUGUGAAAAAUGCAAUCCCAGAACCCCAGGCCCUUGCUGAUCACAACUGGCAGAGACUGUGAUGACGUCCAGAAGGAUGUUAGGAAUGUAUUCAGCCACACAUAACGGAACCUGACUUGGAGUGGAACAAACAGGCUUACAUCUCUCACCAAGAAUUCUGGAGGACUGUGAGGAAAGAACCACAUGGAAACAACCACUGGUGACUGAUGCUGCAGUGGAAGCAUGUUGGGUGGGGUGACGGCCAGG
ensembl:lncRNA